rnacentral:rRNA from 1 species
AUGGACGCGCACGUCCGUGAAACACUAUUUGGCCUAUGCAACUUUUUCGACGUCAUCUCUCGAAAGUCGGUUGGCGUGAGGCAACUCAGAAGGCUACAAGAAGAGAUCAUGGUGAUACUAUGCGAGCUUGAGAUAUACUUCCCGCCCGCAUUCUUCGAAGUUAUGGUGCAUCUGCUGGUCCAUAUCGUGGAGGAUAUCAUCCAACUCGGGCCGACGUUCGUGCACAGCAUGAUGCCAUUCGAAAGGAUGAAUGGUGUCAUCAAAGGAUACGUUCGCAACAUGUCAUGUCCAGAGGGAAGCAUAGCUAGGGGCUUUCUGACCCAAGAGUGCAUCUCCUACUGCACGAAUUAUCUAGGCAUCGAGAGCCCCGUUGGUCUGCCCGUCAACAGGCACCUCGGCAGGCUCGCUGCAUGGGGUCACCGUGAGGGUCGCCGCGAAAUGCAUGUCAACUUCGAGGGAUGA